GAUCCUGAUUCAUACCAAGAUAAGCAAAGAAAUUUGAAAUUCAUGGAUUAGAAUGCCUUUAUUUCUCAUGGUACUUUGUGUGUGCUGUUAGUGACCCUCUGCUGUGGAAAUUCGUACAAAUGUGCUGUGACGCUGGUAAUCCAAAAUUGUUGAAUUUUGUAGUUUGCGCUUUUUGUUUGAAGUUUGCUCUAGUGCUUCAAUGGCAUAUAAGUACUUGAGAUCCCUUUUCAGAUUUUUUUCCUCCCCUGGAAACAGUUAUUUCUUUAGAAGAUUAUUUAGAAGAUUGAAACAUAAAUUUAUUUAAUAUUUGUGGGCACAUUUCUGUUGCUUUCUCAGUGGUGUAUCUUUAAUGACAGCAUGACUGGUUACUUUUAGAAAUGGUAUGAAAACCAAGUACUCCUCAGCCUGUUGCCAGGCAUUGUUCUUCAGUAUGUUUUACAAGAGGUACUUUUCUUGUUGUUUUUCAUGUUAAUAACGUAUUAUUUCUGCAGACAUGUUACUACUUAUUUUAUGCCAUAAGGAACGUGUUAGUUCAUGAAAAAAUACAUCUAUUUUUAGAUCAAACAAUCAAUACAAACAGAACACAAGCUGUACAUAGUGUGUAUGGACACAUUCAUACGUGUUCAACCACAUGGUUGGCAAUGUAGAGGGGCAGCUUUGCCUGUGAGGGCUACAAAUACCCUGUAAGUAAGGUCUGAGGGAUUUGAGUUGUGCUUACAGGAUUAUGUACCUAUCAGCCGAGCACUCAUCAGAUUAUAUACUUGCCUUCACAAUGGGCCCUUGUUAAUCGAGUUUUUAUUUUCUUGAUUUGGCAGGCUUGCAUAUAUACUUGACUGAAUGAACUUUCAGCUAAGUUUCUGAGCAGAAGGUAGUUUAUGACAUAAUUGCUCUAUAUGUUGAUACAUCUUUUAUCAUAAUUGGUUUACAUUGUUUUAAAUAAAAGAACAAGAAUAAUAGGAGAUAUUGCAGAAAGUGGUUUUCUUUUUUUUCUUUUUGUUCUAUUAUUCAUGAUACUAAAAAUUAACCAAAAUAAGUGUCGUCUUCAAAAAAAAAAAAAGAAGAGGUUUAGUUCCCAAAGUGGCUAAUUUAUAUCAGUCUGUACAAUGAACCAGCUAAUGAUCCUUAGUCUAAAGAGGUGCAAUGCUGUUAUAUUGUAUUUCCCCCGUUUUUAUGAAUAGAAUUGUACAAAAAAAGUUCCCAUUGUGUAGUGCUGUGAGUUUUGUACAACCAUCUUUUAUCAACAGAUGGCAACCAGAACAUGAAAAAUAAUUAAAAAAUAAAAUGAAAAGAAAUCCAGAAUGAA
rnacentral:lncRNA from 1 species